AGUGCGAAUGCUGACAUAAGUAACGAUAAAGCGGGUGAAAAGCCCGCUCGCCGGAAGACCAAGGGUUCCUGUCCAACGUUAAUCGGGGCAGGGUGAGUCGACCCCUAAGGCGAGGCCGAAAGGCGUAGUCGAUGGGAAACGGGUUAAUAUUCCCGUACUUGGUGUUACUGCGAAGGGGGGACGGAGAAGGCUAUGUUGGCCGGGCGACGGUUGUCCCGGUUUAAGCGUGUAGGCUGGUUUUCCAGGCAAAUCCGGAAAAUCAAGGCUGAGGCGUGACGACGAGGCACUACGGUGCUGAAGCAACAAAUGCCCUGCUUCCAGGAAAAGCCUCUAAGCAUCAGGUAACACGAAAUCGUACCCCAAACCGACACAGGUGGUCAGGUAGAGAAUACCAAGGCGCUUGAGAGAACUCGGGUGAAGGAACUAGGCAAAAUGGUGCCGUAACUUCGGGAGAAGGCACGCUGACACGUAGGUGAAGUGAUUUACUCAUGGAGCUGAAGUCAGUCGAAGAUACCAGCUGGCUGCAACUGUUUAUUAAAAACACAGCACUGUGCAAACACGAAAGUGGACGUAUACGGUGUGACGCCUGCCCGGUGCCGGAAGGUUAAUUGAUGGGGUCAGCGCAAGCGAAGCUCCUGAUCGAAGCCCCGGUAAACGGCGGCCGUAACUAUAACGGUCCUAAGGUAGCGAAAUUCCUUGUCGGGUAAGUUCCGACCUGCACGAAUGGCGUAAUGAUGGCCAGGCUGUCUCCACCCGAGACUCAGUGAAAUUGAACUCGCUGUGAAGAUGCAGUGUACCCGCGGCAAGACGGAAAGACCCCGUGAACCUUUACUAUAGCUUGACACUGAACAUUGAGCCUUGAUGUGUAGGAUAGGUGGGAGGCUUUGAAGCGUGGACGCCAGUCUGCGUGGAGCCGACCUUGAAAUACCACCCUUUAAUGUUUGAUGUUCUAACGU
rnacentral:rRNA from 1 species